AUCCUCGUAGCGCAGCUGGUAGAGCGUGCGCUGUCUAAAAGCGUAGGCGGCGUCCCCGCGUGGGUUCGAAUCCCACAGAGGUUA
rnacentral:tRNA from 1 species